UUUCACAAUACAGUUAUCUCCAAAUACAUAAAAGAAGACAUACUGGAGAGAAACCUUAUGAAUGUAAACAAUGUGAUAAAGCCUUUGCAUGCCGAAGGAGUCUCCAAAGACAUAAAAGAAAACAUCCUGGAGAGAUAGAUGCCAUAUGAAUGAAAUUAGUGUGGUAAAGCCUUUGCAUAUCAAAGUAGUCUCCAAAUAUAUAAAAGAAGACAUAAUGAAGAGAAACACUAUGAAUGUAAUUAAUGUGGUAAACCCUUUGCAUAUUAGCAGUCUUCAAAGUCAUAAGAAAAUAAUCAUACUGCUGAGAAACCCUACAAAUGUCGUUAGUGUAGCAAGAUUUUGCAAUUCAUGGUAGUCUUCAUACAUGAGUAGGGCUGUUAAAGCCUGUGCAUAUCACAUUAAUUGGUGAUGAUCUGAAAAAAAAAACAAUACCAAAGGUAAUAUAACUAUAAAGGAUUUAGUAAGAUCAUUAGCCAACAUAUGUGCAUUUAGUUACACGAGAUUAUUUUUCUGGAGAAAAAAAAAUCUUGCAAGUGUCAACAAUCUCUUCAGUCAUUAUGAUGUCUUUAUUUUGUUUGUACUUGUAACUCACAUAAACAAAAGGCCUAUGAAUUUAAAGUAUGAAUCAACUCUUAGAUUUCUUCUCUUCAAUCACAGAAAAAAAGAAAUCCAUGAGUAAACUUUUAUGGAUGUGUAUUAGUGCCUUUUCUAUUACUGUAGUAAAACAAUGCUUAAGUCAACUUAUGAAAGAAUUUGUUGGUUCAUGGUUCCUGGGAGAUACUGGAUCACAAUGAAAGUGGCAUGGCAACAAUUGUCAGACAGGGAAGAUAAAGCAAGAAGCUAAGAACUUGCAUCUUUUACCUGAACCAUGAAGCAGAGAGUAGGAACUGGAAAUGGUGUAUGGAUGAAAACUCCCAGCCCCACCCCUAGUGACAUAUUUCAUAAGCAUGGCAGCAUUUUCUAAAUCUUCUGAAAUGACACCACCAACUGAGAAGGAAUGAUUUCUCUGACUUCAAGCCUACAUGCUAGUUUUCCAUUAUAUGAACCACUUCACAAUGAAGAAAAUCUCUCCUUUUUUUCUUUUCAGAAGUAUCUCUUUGUUCACCGCAAUCAAGAUUACCUUCCUGUUUCAUGAACAUGAUGAAAACAGCUGGGUUACUGUUGGGAACAUCUGAGAGAACACCACACACCAAGGAGUAGAAUAAAAAAGAACUUAAUUUUGGUCUUUUAACACUGACAAGUUCUGCAUUUCUGCUGUUUCCGCUGUACUACUACAAGCAGUGUUUGUCACCAAAGGAUCUCACUGUGUAGCUCUGGCUGUCUGAAACUCACUAUGUAGACCAUAACAGGCUGGCCUAAAAGUGUCAGCCACCAUAUCUGAUUUCAUUCAAACUUUUGAGGAAGCUGAGCACUCAGGCCAGGGUAAGGAAGGGAGAGAUAGAGGGAGGGAACAAGGGAAGGAAGGGCCGGGGAGGGAAAAAAGCAGGGAGAUUGAUUCUUCAAGGUAACUACUAUAACCAAGUAGUUUAGUUUGGGAUUUAACUUUUAAAAAAUAAUUUUAAUCAAGCACCCCAACCACAACCUUAUGAAAUGAUAUCCAUUACUAUAAAGUUUGUUCAUGAUAAUAACUAAUCUUCCAAAUAUAACUUAAACAUAUUUUAUCCCCUCCUCCUUUUUAGUAAGGUAUCGGCAAUGCAGUAUUAUUCCUUGUAGCAAAGAUGUCGACCUAGGAAUUUUUAUACAAGAUUACAAACCUGAUAUUAUUUUGGCAUUUCAGAAUGCUGGACUUC